AACAGCCUGCCUACAAAUAUGUGUCUCCUAGUCCCUUCACUGUGUUCCCUAACGGCGGUGAGUAGCACGACGGAAGGUCUGGAGGUCGGCCUGGACCAGGAACACACACCCGAUGGACAAUCCACACUCAUCCGGGCCCGAUUUGGGAGGGCGACUACGGCCGGAGGGAUUCCCCUCAGGUUCUAUGGAGACCCUGGCCAAUCCCGGGACCCCUUGCAGCACCCUGGAUGGAGAGAAACACAACCAUGAACAUGGAGAAUGUGGGUUUUCAUUAGACAGCUCUCUGUCCUCAGAAGACAGUGACCAGGAGUGUAUCAGUAAGAAGCAGAAGAAAAAGAAGAAGCUGACAAAGAAAAAGAAGAAGGAUUCCAGUUCAUCGUCUUCAUCGUCGUCCUCCUCUUCUUCCUCCUCCUCUUCCUCAUCUUCAUCCUCCUCAAGCAGCUCGUCAGACAGCGACAGUGAGGUAAUGUGGGACACAACUAAAUGCAAGAAGAAGAAGAAGAAGAAGAAAAAGAAGAAGGAGUAUGUCUGGAGCAGUGUUGUGGUGUGUGAGCCGUGCCUCCCCGAAACCUGUAUCUGUCAAAAGCCACCAUCUGACAUCGAUGUGGAUGAAUUUGACCUGAGCGGAUCAGACAAUGGUGAUGACCUAAAGGAAAAGAAGAAAGACAAGAAAAAAGAUAAAAAGAAAGACAAGAAGAAAGAUAAAAAGAAAGAUAAGAAGAAGAAGAAAAAGAAGAAGAAGGAUUCUAGCUCCUCGUCUUCCUCUUCGGACACUUCCUCCUCGUCUGAUAGUGAAGAUGAGAAGAAGAAGAAGAAGAAGAAGAAGAAGAAGAAGGACUCCAGCUCUUCCUCUUCAGACAGUUCGUCCUCCUCUUCCUCCUCCUCUUCUUCCUCUUCUGACAGCGACAAAGAUAAAAAGAAGAAGGAUAAGAAGAAAGAUAAGAAGAAAGAUAAGAAGAAAGACAAGAAGAAGGACAAGAAGGAGGAUAAGAAAAAGGGGGAGAAGGAGGGCAGUCAGCAGGAAGAUGAGGAGAAUGUUGCUGUUGUUUCUGUUGCUGGUGACGAGGUUGCAGGACCAAGUGGUUAUGGAGACAAGGACAAGAAGGAGAACAAGCCCAAAGGGGAUCGCCCGGUGGCACGUGACCUCUAUGCUGAGGGCGUCCAGGCACAGUCAAGGGAUCAGGACCCUGGCAACGUGAGUGAUGACGAGGGAGAAGGGGAGGCAGCCAAGGACGAGGACAAGAAGACAAAGGUGUUGAAGAAGAAGAAGGAGAGCAAGGAUUCUGGCGCAUGUUCAUCAGACAACGAUGAUGCCGGGAAAGACAAGAAGAAAGAUAAGAAGAAAAAGAAGGACGAUGGCUCAGACUCAGACAGUGAUGAUGACAAAAAGAAGAAGAAGAAGAAGAAGAAGAAGAAGAAGUCCAGCUCUUCUGACGACAGCUCCUCUUCCUCAUCUUCCUCCUGCUCCUCCUCCUCUUCUUCCUCCUCUGAUAGUGAGGAUGAUGAGGACAAGAAAAAGAAAGAGAAGAAAAAUAAGAAAGAUAAGAAGAAUAAAGACAAGAAGAAAGAUAAGAAGAAAGACAAGAAAAAGAAGAAGAAGAAGGACGACAGCUCAGACUCAGACAGUGAUGAUGACAAGAAGAAGAAGAAGAAGAAGAAGAAGAAGAAGAAGAAGAAGAAGAAGAAGGUGAAGGAGUCCAGCUCUUCUGAUGACAGCUCCUCUUCCUCAUCCUCCUCGUCUUCCUCCUCCUCUGAUAGUGAGGAUGAUGAGAAAAAGGACAAGAAAAAGAAAGAUAAGAAAAAGAAGAAGGAUAAGAAGAAUAAAGACAAGAAGAAAGAUAAGAAGAAAGAUAAGAAAAAGAAGAAAAAGAAGGACGACAGCUCUGACUCAGACAGUGAUGAUGACAAAAAGAAGAAGAAGAAGAAGAAGAAGAAGAAGAAGCAGAAGGACUCAUCUGACAGUGAGGAUGACAAGAAGAAAAAGAAGAAGAAAGACAAAAAGAAAAAAGAUGCUUCCUCAUCUGACUCUGAUUCUUCUUGUGAUGAGAAGAAAAAGAAAAAGAAGAAGAAGAAGGAUAAGAAGAAGAAGAAGAAGAAGAAGGAAAAGUCAAAGGACUCUGAUUCUUCAAGCAGUGAUGAUGAUAAGAAGAAAAAGAAGAAGAAAAAGAAGAAGAAGAAGCAGAAGAAGAAGGACUCCAGUUCAAGUUCAUCUGACAGUGACAGCGGCAAAGAUAAAGAUAAAAAGAAGAAGAAGAAGAAGGAUAAGAAAAAGAAGAAGAAGAAGGACAAAGGUCCACCAAGUUCAUGUGAUAGUGAAGGUGGCAGCGAUGAGAAGAAGAAGAAGGAUAAGAAGGGCUCAUCAGGGAGUGACACUGACAAGGAGAACAAGAAGCAGCUACCAGAGGUCCUGGAACAUCCGGAAUCCCAAGGAGUGACGUCAUCCCUGUGUUGGAACUCCCACCCGUUCCCAUGCCAACGCCCAGCCUGCUUAAAGGGAUACUUCACCGGUGGAGACAUGAAUCUGUAUUGAAAGUGGGUCAUAUAUUUAGUCGAAUAGUAACAUAAAUUUCGAAUUUUUUUCCUCCUUGACAGAGAAAAGGCAGACAGUGAUUUUUUGGCGCUUGCGGAUUGAAGAAGACAACUCCCACAAUGCCAAUCAGCGUUCACUCCCUGAGGGAUGUAACAGCCAAUCAGCGUUCACUCCCUGCAGUCCAGCGUGAACCACAGCAUUGAGGAGAGGUGAUUGAUGCCGUUCGCGGACUCCCGGAGAUGUAAAAAUUGAAAUUAAAAAAGGCAUGUAGGCUACCUGUCACAAAGGGAAACGAAAUAGUUGCCAAAUUGAUGACUGCUCACGCUCACACUCCUGUCAAAUCAUAUUUAUGUACACAGAUCCCAAUUUGCGUGAUUGUAUAGCAAAAUAAUCUGUCAUGUUUUGAUCGUUUAUUUAAAUGAAUGGGCGAAUGGUUCUUGCAACAAGGAAUUUUGGGACGGCGUUAUCUCCUUUCCUUUCGCUAAGGAUGUCCCAGUGUACCCUAUGCUAAAGGAGAUAAGAAAGGAAUCAUUAUUUUAAGCCCCUUUCCUAGCAUUAAGAUAAUUUGAACAGCAUUUAUCAUGGCUGACACUUAAAUACUUCCGGGUCCUUUCACUCGGUAAGGAAUCUUCAGGGCGAGAGGACCUUCAUAUCAUAGCUGUUUGUUUUAUUUAUCUCUGAAAGGCUCUUUGAACCCUCAGAGGCAGAAAAGCCUGUCCUACUGGUGUGGGGGCGUGGGCCCAAGAGUCGUUAGACCGGCUUUCCUGUAACCAUAAAAGAAGCGCGUCGUGCGAUGUUCACGUCACUGUCCCGAAGACACAGCCUCGCAGCACAUAAACAAUCAUGGAUUUCAGUCUGGAGUCAGCCUGCGGCCCUGACGAGGUAAAGAAGAACGAUGCAAAUAGCACGGAGUUUUCCUUUUUCGGCAAAAAGGACAAGGUAUGAAAUUCUGACUGCAAGGACAAGUCAAAGGACCACGACAAGAGCAAGGGAGACAAGAAACACAAGGAAGGUGGCAAGGAGCACAAGAAAGACAAGCAGCACAAGAAGAAGGACAAGGGGCACGGAGGAGAGAAGAAGCACAAGAAACACGGAGACGGGGAGCACAAGAAAAAGGAGCACGGAAGUGGCUCUUCUUCGUCAUCCUCUUCCUCCUCUAGUAGUGACUCGGACUAAACAUCUGAUGCAAGGAUGAGGAACAACAGUUCUCUGAGUACCUGUAACAUUUGCUACUGAUGUAUGUAUGCUGUCUGCCUGUGAACUAUACAUCUGUUGUUUCUUAACUGGCCUGGUGACAAAAUAUGUGUUCUUACUACAAUGUAAACUAAUAAAUGGUGCCUCGCGA